GUGGAUGUGGCGCGGUGAUAGUGCGACUGCUUGCGACGCAGAAGGUUCUGGGUUCAAUUCCCGAUGGAGCACUCACA